UUGAAGAGUUUGAUCAUGGCUCAGAUUGAACGCUGGCGGCAGGCCUAACACAUGCAAGUCGAACGGUAACAGGAAGCAGCUUGCUGCUUCGCUGACGAGUGGCGGACGGGUGAGUAAUGUCUGGGAAACUGCCUGAUGGAGGGGGAUAACUACUGGAAACGGUGGCUAAUACCGCAUAACGUCGCAAGACCAAAGAGGGGGACCUUCGGGCCUCUUGCCAUCAGAUGUGCCCAGAUGGGAUUAGCUUGUUGGUGAGGUAACGGCUCACCAAGGCGACGAUCCCUAGCUGGUCUGAGAGGAUGACCAGCCACACUGGAACUGAGACACGGUCCAGACUCCUACGGGAGGCAGCAGUGGGGAAUAUUGCACAAUGGGCGCAAGCCUGAUGCAGCCAUGCCGCGUGUA
rnacentral:rRNA from 1 species